GCUGCUCCGAGCUGCGCCUGGAGCGUUAUGCAACUGUAAUGUCCUUUUAAUAUGAAGACAACGGUUCCUGUGAAAUGUGCGUAAGAAGUGUCCAUGCUGAGUCCGUUAUGACAGUAAAUACCCAUUUAAUGCAAAGAGACAUGAUGCUUUCCAUCUGAGACCAGGGACUACUCACAAUACAGCUAUUCAUUAAACAGUGACGCAACCUGAGCUGAUGCUCAGUCCGUGUUGGCCAGACAUCCUGGUUGACUUGGCUGCAUUAAGGCUUCAUCAAUAAAGCAUUAAACAAGUUAUUUAAUUUUGUCGUCUGUGUUAGAACGUCCUCUCCCAUUUUAACACCAUAGCAGAUUGAGUAAAACUGGAUUAUGCUACGAUUUUGUUAUCUGAAGCUGACUCAGAGCUCGCUGUCAAUAGUUUGCCUCAUUUUACUUAUUAUACUUUCAACUGAUUAAACUGUGUUCACAUUUAUAACAGUAUAUUUUUUCCUACUAAUUACUAUAACUGUGCUAAUCAUUACUACUACUAGUUAAAUAGGACUACUUCCAGUACCAUUUAUUAAACAAGGCUGAUAAAGCGGAGAGGUUUUCAAUCUAGUCUAUAGUUUCCGGGUCCACUCUAGUUUCUGUUUAUCCAUGAUGUAGGUACAUUGAUUUGGACUGAAUUUAUCACAUUAUAGAUUUGAUCCAAUUAAAUCAUACCAGGUUCACAAACGUGCUGUGAGUCAGCUUUCAUCUCCUGAUUAACGUGUGCACAUCGAAGGUCAUGUGAGUCAGUUAUGAUGACUGCCUAUUCAUUAUUUCAGGACUACUUCCACUGUUGUGUUCCAGCCCAUCUCUUCUUUAAUGAGGCUAUGGAGACUGUGUUUCCCAUGCGUUGGCUCUCUGGUGUGUUGAACUUGUUCCAGAUCACUUCGAGGGUGGAACUAGUCCAUUACCUGCACAGGUGUUCUACAUGUUCUUUGGUUUGUAUUCAUCUUUCAAUCCUCUCUUUCUCUGACUCUUCUGAUACUGCAGGUGCAGGAAGUAAACUUGUUAGUUUGUAGUAAGAGCUUCAUAGCUUUUAAUAGUCCUACCUUUUUUGUUUUCUUCAGAUUUCCACCCUUGUAUGUUUUCCUGCAUGUCAGUGUUUUUUUUUUACUGUAGUUCUGUAUUUUCUUUUAAUUUCUGUGGGUUAUUUUCUGUUUAUUUUAUUUAUUCGCUUCCUGUGUUUUUAUGGUGAGUUUUCUGGUUCUUUAGUAUUUGUCCCCUGCAGUUUGCAGUGAUUGUUACAAGCAAAACCACUGCACAACCAAAGAACAGUAGUGAUUUUUAUAGUCCUUUGGUUUCAUCCCAGGUUUCUACACCUGCCGCCUACAGAGCUUGUCGUCACUAGGCCUGCGUUGUUUGACAGAUACAUCGCCUGUACUCUGACUCUGAGUCUGUGGUGCAUGGUGAAGUAAGAUGGGAUGUGUGCUUCACGAGCAACCCUAUUACGGUAAACUCUUCUCAGACAUUUGAGGUUAAAUCUAAAACAACACAGAUGGUGGAGCGUCCAUUUAAUAACAGCCGCUGUCCUCAAAAAGCAUAAAUCAUCCAGAACCGCUCCGUUCAGUCAGGCUGGAUGUGACGAGGCUGGGCCCUCAGAAUGCUCCUUUAUUGGAGGCUGCUGCAGAGUUAGCUAUGACCCUGGUGAACUUCAGUGAAGAAAUAACUUGGCUUCUUAAAAAUGCACAGCAUUCCUCAUGUAUCAGAAACAGCUGCAAGACAUAGUUGCUCCACUCAUGUUCCCAUUGUCCCUCUGACUGUUGUUAGAGUUCAUGGUGUGAUUCUUCUCAGUUAGUUAGUGGAAGCUUGACUAUGAUGAGCAGUAAUGUGUUUAUCAGUGCUACUAUGGGAGGUGCAGAGCUGUAACUACCCUCUGGUAAAGCUGUACAGUCACACAGCUCCACGGCACAUGCUCUAAACCUUGUGCGAUAUAUUGGCUGUUUUGGGGUGUAGAUUACAUCAUCAGCUCCUGCAGCUCUGACCUGCAGACCUGAUGAAUGUGCUCUGUCACCUUUGUUGAUGAUGUUUUGUCCGUUGCAGGUGAUAACUUGGCUGCAUGUGGUCAUGUAUGUUCAAAGAUAUGUUUAUUCUGUCUGUCUGUAUCUGGAAGUCCCGCAGGAUCUUGGGAGUGCCUCUGUGCUGUCCUUCGGCCCAGCUCUUUCAAGCCAUUGGUAGGAUUUGUUGAGAUCAGCCACUUCAGUUAUGUUCCGAUGGCACUGUACAUCCCGUGCAAGGGCUUGUCCUCUCAUGAUGGUCCCUCUUCCAGCAUCUCAUCCUCUGUUCUCCACUGUCAUCUGUUGGUGCCUUGACCUUGAUGUAGGUAUAUGGGAGAGGAAGGCAUCACACAACAGGCAUGCACAGUGGAUGGUGGACUUGAGGGAAGACCACAGCAACCUCCCUGAACAGAAUCCAGUGACUAUCACAGUGGCAGACAUCCAAGUCUCAGGUAUGAAAAACUGGACAGCACCCGGCCCUGACAUGAUCCACGCCUACUGGCUAAAAUGCUCACUGCAAUCCAUGAGCGCCUGGCAGCACAAAUGAACCAGCUGCUAAGGGAUGGGACUCACCCUGAAUGGCUAACCGAAGGGCGAACGAUCCUGAUAAUGAAGGAUCCCUUAAAGGGUAGAGUCCCAUCCAACUACCGGCCAAUAACCUGGCUCUCCACAACAUGGAAGCUCAUGUCAGUCAUCAUCGCAGCUAAGAUAAAUGGGCACAUGGGUCAAUACAUGAGCAAAGCACAGAAGGGCAUAAGUAAGGAUACCAGAGGAGCCAAACACCAACUCCUGGUUGACAGAACAGUCGCCCAAGACUGCAGAGUGCGACACACCAACCUGUGCACAGCCUGGAUCGACUACAAGAAAGCCUAUGACUCAAUGCCACACACAUGGAUCACUGAAUGCUUGGAGCUGUACAACCUCAAUAGAACUCUAAGGGCCUUCAUUGCAAACUCGAUGAGGUUGUGGAGAACCACCCUUGAAGCCAAUGAGAAACCACUUGCCUAAGUAUCCAUCAAAUGUGGCAUAUACCAAGGAGAUGCACUGCCCCCACUGCUGUUCUGCAUAGGUCUGAACCCCCUCAGCCAAAUAAUAAACAAGACUGGCUACGGAUACCGACUCCGGAACGGGGCCACCAUAAGUCACCUCCUCUAGAGAUAGAUAGAUAGAUAGAUACAGAUGCUGAGACUGUACGCUAGCUGCAAGGAGGGAGGCUGAGGACUAGUGAGCGUGAGAGUCACUAUCCAGGAUGAAACAUCAAAGAUCCAUAAGUACAUCAAGGAUAAGGCCCCAAGAGAUGACGUGCUGAGUGAAUGUCUCAGGCAGUGGAGAACAGAGGAUGAGAUGCUGGAAGAGGGACCAUCAUGGGAGGACAAGCCCUUACACGGGAUGUACCACCAGAACAUAACUGAAGUGGCUGAUCUCAACAAAUCCUAGCAAUAGCUUGAACUGGCUGGGCUUAAGGACAGCACAGAGGCACUCUUCCUGUCUGCACAGGAGCAGGCCCUGAGCACCAGUGGCUACAACAGAUCCCUGGAAAAACAUCCGACAUCUCAGUCCAGAAAAGUGCAGUCCUAGGAACAGCAAGGAUACUGCGCAGAACCCUCAAGCUCCCUGGCCUCUGGUAGAGGACCCAAGCUUGGAAAGCCGAUGAGACCACCCGUGGAGGGUGAGAGGGCAGUUUUUUUUAGUGACAUGAUUUGUUUGAAUCAAACUAUGAUUAUCGAGAAUGUGAGAAGGUGACAACUUCCUACUUUAUCUCUUUACAUCUGAAUGACCCCUUUGUCUUCAUGGCCACCAAGAGACUUAUUGUAUUAUGUCAGGAUAAGGCAGCUACAGUCUAUCCCCCUGUAGACACAGAGGCACCUCCAGAGAAGACUGGCCUCAAUGUUAUAAGGUCUGAGAGUGACUGGCUUUAACAGGAGUUGUCUGUUAUUCCACUGUCCAAGGUUUUCCUAUCAACAGAACCAGGAUGUCAGAUGAUAGGGAACCACCACACCAAGUGAUGUCAAGCUGGAUUUUACAAAGUCACAUAAAUUCUGGUUAAAGGAGUAACCUACUGUGUAGGUGAGGAAAGAAUGAGGGAGAGAGAGAGACAAUGUUAGUUAAACAUGGAACAAUGAUGGGAGGUUAUUGGAUAAGAGAGAUAGAAGGAAACAGAGAAGCUCAGUGUAUAAAUUAAGUCCCACAACAGUCUAUGUCUACUGCAGCUUAACUAAGAGAUGGUUCCUGUGACUAACAAUCAUUGCCAGUGACCUGAACCAUCUCUAACUAUAAGCUUUAUCAAAAAGGAAGGUUUUUAGCCUGAUCUUAAAAGAUGGAGAGUGUGUCAGCUUCUCGAAUCUGAACAGGGAACUGGUUCCACAGGAGAGGAAGCUUGGUAGCUAAAAGCUCUGCCUCCCGUUCUACAUUUAAAGACUCUAGGAACCACAAGUAGCCCAGCGCUCUGAGAACGAAGUGUUCUUCUGGGAGCAUAAGGAACUAUGAGGUCUUUAAGAUAAGAAGGAGCUUUAUCAUUAAGUCCUUUGUAGGUAAGUAGGAGAGUUUUAAGUUAUAUCCUACAUUUCACAGGCAGCUAGUGCAGAGAAGCUAAUGUAGGAGAUAUGUGAUCUCUUUUUCUAAGUCCUGUCAGAACUCUGGCUGCAGCAUUUUGAAUUAGCUAUAGGCUUUUUGAGGAGCUGUUAGGACAUUCUAUGAGUAAGCAGUUACAGUAGUCCAGCCUAGAGGUAACAAAUGCAUGGAUCAGUUUCUCUGCAUCGCUCUAAAAGAGGAUGCUUCUGAUUUUAGCUAAAUUUUUUCCUGCUCAAUUAUGACACCAAGGUUCCUCACAGUACAAACUGAAGCUAAUAGUAUGUGUAUGGAAUCUGUUCAACAAAUAUGAUUUAAACCAUCACAGUGCUGUUCCUUUAAUUCUGCUGCUAUGUUCUUGUCUCUGAAAUCAGGUUCUUUUCCAAUCACAAAGUACGGUGUCCAGUUGAAAGUAUUUAUGAUAAUUGGUAGGCAAUUAGGCAACCUUUAUGCAAAUUUGGCAAGUUUUAGUUACUGAUGGAUGAACUAAGUAAAGAGUAACAAUGUCAAAAAUGGUUCACUGUGUUGAAACAUUGGAUAAACUUGCGUUGGCAACAUCUGCUGUUAACUCGUCACAUUACAUUUGUAUUAUUUUUUAUUUUUUUUUUUGUAUUAAUGUUAUGAAACUGAGGCUCUAGUUGAGCACAGAAAACAUUGAAGUCAUCUUAUUAAUCUGUUUGCUUUGUGACUGUGUUUUAGAAACAACUACUAACUGUCUGACUGAUGUGUUGGUGCUUUUGUAGCUGGGACACUGUAUGACAUUAACAGAGACUGAUCCCUGGAAAUCAAAGAUCAUUAUUCAAAUACAGGCUCAUUCCAACUUAUUGUUUGCUACACAAUCAUGCUCACAAACAAAGCUUAGCUUGAAUCUGUGUUCUACUGUCUGUGUUCUACUGUAUGUAUUUAAACUCCUGCUGACUCUUCCCCUGAAACCUAAUGAAUCACUCUACUGCACUAUUGAUCUCAAACACUUUUUUAAGCGCCAUUAAAGUUUGGAGGAUUCUA